UACGUAGGGGGCAAGCGUUGUCCGGAUUUAUUGGGCGUAAAGAGCGUGUAGGCGGCCUGGAAGGUCAGCUGUGAAAACUCGAGGCUCAACCUCGAGACGUCGGUUGAAACCACCUGGCUAGAGUCCGGAAGAGGAGAAUGGAAUUCCCGGUGGUAGCGGUGAAAUGCGCAGAUAAUCGGGAAGAACACCCGUGGCGAAGGCGGUUCUCUGGGACGGUACUGACGCUGAGACGCGAAAGCGUGGGGAGCGAACAGG
rnacentral:rRNA from 1 species